rnacentral:rRNA from 1 species
CCUACGGGUGGCUGCAGUGAGGAAUAUUGGUCAAUGGACGCGAGUCUGAACCAGCCAAGUAGCGUGAAGGAUGACUGCCCUAUGGGUUGUACACUUCUUUUAUCUGGGAAUAAAUGUUCCACGUGUGGGAUUUUGUAUGUUACAUAUGAAUAAGGAUCGGCUAACUUCGGGCCAGCAGCCGCGGUAAUACGGAGGAUCCGAGAGUUAUUCGGAUUUAUUGGGUUUAAAGGGAGCAGAGGUGGAUUGUUAAGUCAGUUGUGAAAGUUGGCGGCUCAACCGUAAAAGUGCAGUUGAAACUGGCAUUCUUGAGUACAGUAGAGGUGUGCGGAAUGCGUGGUGUAGCGGUGAAAUGCUUAGAUAUCACGAAGAACUCCGAUUGCGAAGGCAGCUCACUGGACUGCAACUGACACUGAGGCUCGAAAGUGUGGGUAUCAAACAGGAUUAGAUACCCUUGUAGUC